rnacentral:tRNA from 1 species
GGAGGGGUGCGAGAGCCUGGUUUAAUCGGCACGCCUGGAGAGCGUGUGUCCGGCUGAAACUGGACCGAGGGUUCGAAUCCCUCCCCCUCCGCCA